AAAUAAAAAUGACUAAUGGGUGCAGAUGAAAAGUUUCCGCGAUGAAGCACAUAACGAGAAAAAGUUGACAGAAAUUGACUUGAACGGGGAGCCAACUCAGCUCAGCGCAUUGUUUAUUCAGCAUUGGCUUUGAACUUUGCUUGUGAAUACCAAUUAGAUCACGUAGUCUUCAAUACUCCUAGUAGUCACACAGGUAGCCCAGGCAAUGGUUUUGAAGCUUGUUCGUAGCUUGGAAUAGGCUGGGCUGUUAUUCUGAGAGGUAAAACGAGUUGAUUGAAGUAGGGAUUUUGUGAAAUAUUGCCAAUAAAAUUGCCUUAAAACUUGGAA